rnacentral:rRNA from 1 species
AGUGAACGCUGGCGGUAGGCCUAACACAUGCAAGUCGAACGGCAGCACAGUAAGAGCUUGCUCUUACGGGUGGCGAGUGGCGGACGGGUGAGGAAUACAUCGGAAUCUACUUUUUCGUGGGGGAUAACGUAGGGAAACUUACGCUAAUACCGCAUACGACCUACGGGUGAAAGCAGGGGAUCUUCGGACCUUGCGCGAUUGAAUGAGCCGAUGUCGGAUUAGCUAGUUGGCGGGGUAAAGGCCCACCAAGGCGACGAUCCGUAGCUGGUCUGAGAGGAUGAUCAGCCACACUGGAACUGAGACACGGUCCAGACUCCUACAGGAGGCAGCAGUGGGGAAUAUUGGACAAUGGGCGCAAGCCUGAUCCAGCCAUACCGCGUGGGUGAAGAAGGCCUGCGGGUUGUAAAGCCCUUUUGUUGGGAAAGAAAAGCAGCAGGUUAAUACCCCGCUGUUCUGACGGUACCCAAAGAAUAAGCACCGGCUAACUUCGUG